AUGACUUGUGGCUGGGGGUGAAAGGCCAAUCAAACCGGGAGAUAGCUGGUUCUCCCCGAAAGCUAUUUAGGUAGCGCCUCGUGAAUUCAUCUCCGGGGGUAGAGCACUGUUUCGGCAAGGGGGUCAUCCCGACUUACCAACCCGAUGCAAACUGCGAAUACCGGAGAAUGUUAUCACGGGAGACACACGGCGGGUGCUAACGUCCGUCGUGAAGAGGGAAACAACCCAGACCGCCAGCUAAGGUCCCAAAGUCAUGGUUAAGUGGGAAACGAUGUGGGAAGGCCCAGACAGCCAGGAUGUUGGCUUAGAAGCAGCCAUCAUUUAAAGAAAGCGUAAUAGCUCACUGGUCGAGUCGGCCUGCGCGGAAGAUGUAACGGGGCUAAACCAUGCACCGAAGCUGCGGCAGCGACGCUUAUGCGUUGUUGGGUAGGGGAGCGUUCUGUAAGCCUGUGAAGGUGUACUGUGAGGUAUGCUGGAGGUAUCAGAAGUGCGAAUGCUGACAUAAGUAACGAUAAAGCGGGUGAAAAGCCCGCUCGCCGGAAGACCAAGGGUUCCUGUCCAACGUUAAUCGGGGCAGGGUGAGUCGACCCCUAAGGCGAGGCCGAAAGGCGUAGUCGAUGGGAAACAGGUUAAUAUUCCUGUACUUGGUGUUACUGCGAAGGGGGGACGGAGAAGGCUAUGUUGGCCGGGCGACGGUUGUCCCGGUUUAAGCGUGUAGGCUGGUUUUCCAGGCAAAUCCGGAAAAUCAAGGCUGAGGCGUGAUGACGAGGCACUACGGUGCUGAAGCAACAAAUGCCCUGCUUCCAGGAAAAGCCUCUAAGCAUCAGGUAACAUCAAAUCGUACCCCAAACCGACACAGGUGGUCAGGUAGAGAAUACCAAGGCGCUUGAGAGAACUCGGGUGAAGGAACUAGGCAAAAUGGUGCCGUAACUUCGGGAGAAGGCACGCUGAUAUGUAGGUGAAGUCCCUCGCG
rnacentral:rRNA from 1 species